AGCAGCCGCGGUAAUUCCAGCUCCAAUAGCGUAUAUUAAAGUUGUUGCAGUUAAAAAGCUCGUAGUUGAAUUUCGGGACCAAUUUGUUGGUCGUGCCUCGGUACGUACUGGUAUUAUUGGUUUCUCCCUUCUGAAGAACCUCGAUGCCAUUAAUUUGGUGUCGUGGGGAAUCAGGACUGUUACUUUGAAAAAUUAGAGUGUUUAAAGCAAGCAUACGCUUGAAUACAUUAGCAUGGAAUAAUGAAAUAGGACGUUUGAUUCUAUUUUGUUGAUUUCUAGGAUCGACGUAAUGAUUAAUAGGGAUAGUUGGGGGCAUUAGUAUUCAAUUGUCAGAGGUGAAAUUCUUGGAUUUAUUGAAGACUAACUACUGCGAAAGCAUUUGCCAAGGAUGUUUUCAUUAAUCAAGAACGAAAGUUAGGGGAUCGAAGACGAUCAGAUACCGUCGUAGUCCUAACCAUAAACUAUGCCGACUAGGGAUCGGAUGAUGUUAAUUUUUAAUGUACUCAUUCGGCGCCUUACG
rnacentral:rRNA from 1 species